CUCAUAUUGAACCUAGUGAUGUAUGAGUUAGUGGCGGACGGGUGAGUAACGCGUGGAGAACCUGCCGUAUACUGGGGGAUAACACUUAGAAAUAGGUGCUAAUACCGCAUAAGCGCACAGCUUCGCAUGAAGCAGUGUGAAAAACUCCAGUGGUAUACGAUGGAUCCGCGUCUGAUUAGCUUGUUGGCGGGGUAAAGGCCCACCAAGGCGACGAUCAGUAGCCGGCCUGAGAGGGUGAACGGCCACAUUGGGACUGAGACACGGCCCAAACUCCUACGGGAGGCAGCAGUGGGGAAUAUUGCACAAUGGGGGAAACCCUGGUGCAGCGACGCCGCGUGAGUGAAGAAGUAUUUCGGUACGUAAAGCUCUAUCAGCAGGGAAGAAAUAAAGUCCUUCGGACUUUGGACGGUACCUGACUAAGAAGCCCCGGCUAACUACGUGCCAGCAGCCGCGGUAAUACGUAGGGGGCAAGCGUUAUCCGGAUUUACUGGGUGUAAAGGGAGCGUAGACGGCAGCGCAAGUCUGGAGUGAAAUCCCAUGGCUUAACCAUGGAACUGCUUUGGAAACUGUGCAGCUGGAGUGCAGGAGAGGUAAGCGGAAUUCCUAGUGUAGCGGUGAAAUGCGUAGAUAUUAGGAGGAACACCAGUGGCGAAGGCGGCUUACUGGACUGUAACUGACGUUGAGGCUCGAAAGCGUGGGGAGCAAACAGGAUUAGAUACCCUGGUAGUCCACGCUGUAAACGAUGAUUACUA
rnacentral:rRNA from 1 species